GCUCCGGUGGCCCAGUGGUAGCACUCCUGCCUGCUGUGUGGGCGACCCGGGUUUAAAUCCCGCCGUUGGCGCC